AUAUUAUAGUAGAAAAUAUUUUUAACUAGAAUUUUGAAGGAAGAGGAUACAUAAGUAAGAAGUAUAAGUCUGAAUUCAACUAUACGAUGGUGUUUUCUUUUGACAAUACCAUUUUAUUCUCGAGCAUUGGGCAACAAAAUUAGUACAUUAUGCUAUGUAAANAUAAAAAUACUUUAAAAAUACUACUUUUUGAUUCACCAUCCCCAAC
rnacentral:lncRNA from 1 species